rnacentral:lncRNA from 1 species
AACGUGGAUCUUAGGGAUCUUCCUGUGCUAAACCUGGGCCCAGACCAAGAGGACUCACAGCACAGUGCUUUGACCAUCUUGACCAGAACCACAAAAGACAGGAAAUUUCUCAGAAAUGGAUGUUCUCAACUGACUUCCAAACCUUAGGUAUGUCCUCUUAGGUAAGUGUUAGGAAAAAUACGAUGCCUCUGGAGCCAGUUUCCAAGCCACAGGAAGCCAUAUAAGAUCAAGUUGUCUGCUCUCUGAAGCUUUGAAAAAUACAUUUUCUUUGUCUUUGUGUUUCUCUGAAACUUCAAUAUUCAAACUCCCUAGGAUAGGCUAAAAGAUAGCAACAGUAGAUGAGAUUUUCAUCUCAUAUCACAUAGGUAAUAGCCUUGAGCAGUUCCAGUGUUCAACAUCUAUUUAAAUGACUUUCAAUCAUAAACAUUAUCUUUCU